AGCAGCCGCGGUAAUUCCAGCUCCAAUAGCGUAUAUUAAAGUUGUUGCAGUUAAAAAGCUCGUAGUUGAAUUUCGGGGUCGGUAGGUUGGUCAUGCCUCUGGUAUGCACUGGUCUCACUGAUUCCUCCUUCCUGAUGAGCCGUAAUGCCAUUAAUUUGGUAUUGCGAGGAAUCUGGACUGUUACUUUGAAAAAAUUAGAGUGUUUAAAGCAAGCUAACGCUUGAAUACAUUAGCAUGGAAUAAUGGAAUAGGACGUUCGAUCCUAUUUUGUUGGUUUCUAGGAUUGACGUAAUGAUUAAUAGGGAUAGUUGGGGGCAUUAGUAUUCAAUUGUCAGAGGUGAAAUUCUUGGAUUUAUUGAAGACUAACUACUGCGAAAGCAUUUGCCAAGGAUGUUUUCAUUAAUCAAGAACGAAAGUUAGGGGAUCGAAGACGAUCAGAUACCGUCGUAGUCUUAACCAUAAACUAUGCCGACUAGGGAUCGGAUGAUGUUAAUUUUUUAAUGACUCAUUCGGCGCCUUACG
rnacentral:rRNA from 1 species